rnacentral:rRNA from 1 species
UACGGAGGGUGCAAGCGUUAUCCGGAUUCACUGGGUUUAAAGGGUGCGUAGGAGGGCAGGUAAGUCAGUGGUGAAAUCUCCAAGCUUAACUUGGAACUGCCGUUGAUACUAUCUGUCUUGAAUACCGUGGAGGUGAGCGGAAUAUGUCAUGUAGCGGUGAAAUGCUUAGAUAUGACAUAGAACACCAAAUUGCGAAGGCAGCUCGCUACACGAAUAUUGACUCUGAGGCACGA